GCUUUAUCCUUUUGUCAUAGAUGGAUUUGGCUUUUGCCCCAGCUUUUCUCACAGGCUCCAAAUCGCUCCCAAUUCCCUCUGCAGCGUAUCCAGACAUGCCAUAGCCCUGAAAUGGGCCAAUCCAAGCAAAGGAAACAUUAAAGAAGAGAAGAGGAGACACCAGUGGGCAAAAGAGAUGCAGAGGAUCAGGGAGGAAGCUAUACGCCUCGUUCAUCUCUGUUUACUCCAGCUGUCUCCCAUGCCACAGACAGAAAGAACAAGAAGAGGGUGGAGAAACUGAGAAGCUGGAGAGUUACACACCAAGCAAGGAAGGCUGAAAGAGAGAGAAUGAUGAAGACAUGCCAGUGGACAAUGCGGUUUCGCAAGGGCAGGCGAUGGGGAAAGGGAGAACAGCAGCACAAAUCCACCGUCACCCCGUGGCUCCUGGGAAUGUGGCUCGGGGAACGGCACAGGGGAGAAAUCUCUCUGUUCGAGGCCCAGCUGAGAACAUUAUUGGAUUGGCCAGAUUAUGGGGAAGAAAGCAAAGAAAAAAGAAGGUCCAAGCAAGACGGAUUUAGCUCUAUGGUGACUGUCAGGGACAUGGUGGGAGUCUGCAGUGCUGAAUGCUCAUCAGGAGCUCCCACGGUGGAGGUUCACCCAUCCCAAGGGCACACCGCUUGCUUUGGCAUGGCAUGGGAUUACAGGCGGUCCAGUCUCAGCGGCGCCUCAGAGCAUUUUCCCUGUCUGCUACCUGCAAAUCAGGAACCGCUGCCCUUUCAAGACUCCAAAUGAUGGUCCUCCUCCAUCUGCAUUACAAACGAUUCUGCUUC
ensembl:lncRNA